UACAGAGGUCUCAAGCGUUUGUUCGGAUUCAUUGGGCGUAAAGGGUGCGUAGGCGGCGAGGUAAGUCGGAUGUGAAAUCCCGGGGCUCAACCCCCGGAACUGCAUUCGAUACUGCUUUGCUUGAGUACUGGAGAGGAGACUGGAAUUUACGGUGUAGCAGUGAAAUGCGUAGAUAUCGUAAGGAAGACCAGUGGCGAAGGCGAGUCUCUGGACAGUUACUGACGCUGAAGGCACGAAGGCCCAGGGGGAGCAAAACGGGGAUU
rnacentral:rRNA from 1 species